rnacentral:lncRNA from 1 species
UUGUCUCAGGCUAUACAUAACCCUGCUUUUAGAUACUUCCAGAUGAUACUGGCACAUUCCUUCCUAGGAAGACCGGAUGCUGAGACAUUACUGAGUGAGGAGGAGAUCUUCCUACUAUUUUGUGCAUCCUAGUCUCGCCCAGUAGCAUGUGGGAACUUUUUGUUAUGUGGCCUCAGCGGUGUUUCCAGACCGUCUGAAGGAGUCAUUCAUGUAGGAGGGAUCAUCACACAGAUCGCCAUCGCCCUAGGUCUAUCUCGCAAGCUAUUACAUC